GACGAACGCUGGCGGCGUGCUUAACACAUGCAAGUCGAACGGAAAGGCCCUGCUUGCCGGGUACUCGAGUGGCGAACGGGUGAGUAACACGUGGGUGAUCUGCCCUGCACUUCGGGAUAAGCCUGGGAAACUGGGUCUAAUACCGGAUAGGAGCCAUUUUUAGUGUGAUGGUUGGAAAGUUUUUUCGGUGUAGGAUGAGCUCGCGGCCUAUCAGCUUGUUGGUGGGGUAAUGGCCUACCAAGGCGGCGACGGGUAGCCGGCCUGAGAGGGUGGACGGCCACAUUGGGACUGAGAUACGGCCCAGACUCCUACGGGAGGCAGCAGUGGGGAAUAUUGCACAAUGGGCGCAAGCCUGAUGCAGCAACGCCGCGUGGGGGAUGACGGCCUUCGGGUUGUAAACUCCUUUCGCUAGGGACGAAGCUUUUGUGACGGUACCUAGAUAAGAAGCACCGGCUAACUACGUG
rnacentral:rRNA from 1 species